GGGGGAUAACGCAGCGAAAGCUGUGCUAAUACCGCAUACGAUCUAUGGAUGAAAGCGGGGGAUCGAAAGACCUCGCGCGAUUGGAGCGGCCGAUGUCAGAUUAGCUAGUUGGUGGGGUAAAGGCCCGCCAAGGCGACGAUCUGUAGCUGGUCUGAGAGGACGACCAGCCACACUGGGACUGAGACACGGCCCAGACUCCUACGGGAGGCAGCAGUGGGGAAUUUUGGACAAUGGGCGCAAACCUGAUCCAGCAAUGCCGCGUGCAGGAAGAAGGCCUUCGGGUUGUAAACUGCUUUUGUACGGGACGAAAAGGUCUGGGUUAAUACCCUGGGCUCAUGACGGUA
rnacentral:rRNA from 1 species